rnacentral:rRNA from 1 species
AAUGAACGUUGGCGGCGUGGAUUAGGCAUGCGAGUCGUGCGAGAACCGUAGCAAUACGGGGACAGCGGCGAAAGGGAGAGGAACACGUGGAUACCUACCCUCAGGUUCAGGAUAGCUAUGGGAAACUAUAGGUAAUACUGAAUAAUAUCUCCGGAUCAAAGGUGUGAUUCCGCCGGAGGAGGGGUCCGCGUCCUAUUAGCUAGUUGGUGAGGUAAUGGCUCACCAAGGCGAAGAUGGGUACGGGAUGUGAGAGCAUGAUCCCGCUCAUUGGGACUGAGACACUGCCCAGACACCUACGGGUGGCUGCAGUCGAGAAUCUUCGGCAAUGGGGGAAACCCUGACCGAGCGACGCCGCGUGUGAAGAUGAAGGCCUGGGUUGUAAGUCACUGUCGUAGAGGAGGAAGUGUAGGUGGGUUCU